rnacentral:misc_RNA from 1 species
AAUUCUCAACUCCGAGUAGACUUCUCUGUCUAUCUGGAGCUUGGACUUGGAGUGUGCUGGCCUGGCUUGUCACAGGUCGGCUCCUCUUAAAAGCAUCAGCAGAACGUGUGUUUAGAGCUUUUGCUGACUUUCAGUGUGAUAAGUGUGUUGCACUGUUGUCUGGCAUGGCGCGUGGGGUUGUCUGCCUACAAUCUGUCCUUUGAGUGACCUUUUUGAA